GGCUCGGUGGUGGAUGGUCUGCAUCUGCCCUCAAUAGAAGGAGAGGAAUUCAUAUAUUGACGCAGAUAUCGCCUGUUCGACUCGGGCUUGAGCCA